rnacentral:misc_RNA from 1 species
AGCGAGGCUUGCCCGCGAAGGCGUCGUAUCAGUCGACAUCUUUGUUAACUGACACGAAGCCUUCGCGGGCAAGCCUCGCU